UACAGAGGGUGCGAGCGUUGUCCGGAAUCACUGGGCGUAAAGGGCGCGUAGGUGGCCUGAUAAGUAGGGGGUGAAAUCUCGAGGCUCAACUUCGAGGCUGCCUCCUAGACUGUCAGGCUUGAGCAGAGUAGAGGCAGGUGGAAUUCCCGGUGUAGCGGUGGAAUGCGUAGAGAUCGGGAAGAACAUCGGUGGCGAAGGCGGCCUGCUGGGCUCUUGGCUGACACGUGAGGCCGCGACAGCGUGGGGAGCAAACAGG
rnacentral:rRNA from 1 species